GCCGAAUUAGCUCAGCUGGUUAGAGCACCUGUUUUGUAAACAGGGGGUCGUCGGUUCGAAUCCGACAUUCGGCUCCA
rnacentral:tRNA from 1 species